rnacentral:rRNA from 1 species
UACGUAGGGUGCGAGUGUUAAUCGGAAUUACUGGGCGUAAAGCGUGCGCAGGCGGUUGUGUAAGACAGAUGUGAAAUCCCCGGGCUCAACCUGGGAACUGCAUUUGUGACUGCACAGCUGGAGUGCGGCAGAGGGGGAUGGAAUUCCGCGUGUAGCAGUGAAAUACGUAGAUAUGCGGAGGAACACCGAUGGCGAAGGCAAUCCCCUGGGCCUGCACUGACGCUCAUGCACGAAAGCGUGGGGAGCAAACAGG